GCUUGCUUCAGCACUGCAUAUACUAAAAUUGGAAUGAUACAGAGAAGGUUAACAUUGCCCCUAUAUAAGGAGGACAUGCAAAUUUGUGAAGUGUUCCAUAUUUAA
ensembl:snRNA U6 U6 spliceosomal RNA